GGAAUUUUCCGCAAUGGGCGAAAGCCUGACGGAGCAACGCCGCGUGAGGGAUGAAGGCCUCUGGGCUGUAAACCUCUUUUAUCAAGGAAGAAGAUCUGACGGUACUUGAUGAAUAAGCCACGGCUAAUUCCGUGCCAGCAGCCGCGGUAAUACGGGAGUGGCAAGCGUUAUCCGGAAUUAUUGGGCGUAAAGCGUCCGCAGGCGGUCUUGUAAGUCUGUCGUUAAAGCGUGGAGCUUAACUCCAUUUGAGCGAUGGAAACUGCAAGACUAGAGUGUGGUAGGGGCAGAGGGAAUUCCCGGUGUAGCGGUGAAAUGCGUAGAUAUCGGGAAGAACACCAGUGGCGAAGGCGCUCUGCUGGGCCAUAACUGACGCUCAUGGACGAAAGCCAGGGGAGCGAAUGGGAUUAGAUACCCCAGUAGUC
rnacentral:rRNA from 1 species